ACAUUGACUCUGGUUCUUGGGAGCGAGCUCGGGGGGUCUGCCCCGCUGCACCUUGAGGAUCACCCAGGCUGCUCCUCAGCUCCUUCCCAGCUGGGACACUCCAGGCAGGGAGCUGGGGCCACCCUGCACAUCCAGGGGAGCCUCUCCAAGGCAAGGAGCAGGAAACUCUCCCAGGGAGAAAAGGAUCCCUGGAAAAAGCUGAAAUCUAAUCCUACCUUGGUUAACAUAACAGAGAGAACAGGAAGCGCUGUGAAGGAAUUUUUCAUUCCCUGGGACGUCUUUGAUCCCGCUCCCCUCCCUUUUCCUAUCAGGGAUGAAAAGCUGCCCUGCAUUGAGAUUUUGCUGUUGUGUAAGCCGGAACCUGAGAACUCCAGAAUCCAGGAGGGAAUCCGAAUAAAAUUCACCAAUUUUUUUGGUGGAAAACCAAUCAUGGCUUUGCUUCAGCACAGGCAAGGGGCAUUCAAACAUUGCAGCAACCCCAAACAAACCCUUCAAGCAUUUUCUGCUGCAGCCACCUCUUUUUGUCACUCAGUUUGACUUCCUGACAUAGGGAGGGAAUUUUCUUUCACCAUUCUCCAUCUCGGUUUGUGCCCACCUAAAAUUUGCAAAGCUCCAAGCAAAUUAUUGUCUGAUUAAUAUUUGGGGUUCUGGAGGAAUGUGUCCAGCCUUUUUCCAGUCCCACGUGGAAUGCAAGGCUGCAUCUCUGCUUUGGGCAGUAAAACAAGUCAUAAUUAAAAUAUUUAUGAUCCUGAAAGGGCUGGAUUACCACAGAGCAGCCUCCUGCUCAUAACCAGGACAAGUCUGGAGCACUCCAAAGCAGGAGAAAACAUAAAAAUCAUAAAAAUGACACCAAGAUCAUCUCAGAGCAACACCACAGCCCCUCUGCCUGCAGAGGGGUAAAACACACAUCCAAAACAAUGCAAUAUUUCUGUGGAAGUGUUGUAUCUUUAUUCCUUUUUCUACUCUUCAUCCACACUUUUGCUGUUGCGGUUCCACUUAUCCCACAGAUCACCAGGAAAUAAAAUUUCAUCCUCAACUCCCUUCUCUUCA
rnacentral:lncRNA from 1 species